rnacentral:rRNA from 1 species
GGGGCGCCUACACAUGCAGUCGAGCGGUAACAUUUCAAAAGCUUGCUUUUGAAGAUGACGAGCGCGGACGGGUGAGUAAUGCCUAGGAAAUUGCCCUGAUGUGGGGGAUAACCAUUGGAAACGAUGGCUAAUACCGCAUGAUGCCUACGGGCCAAAGAGGGGGACCUUCGGGCCUCUCGCGUCAGGAUAUGCCUAGGUGGGAUUAGCUAGUUGGUGAGGUAAUGGCUCACCAAGGCGACGAUCCCUAGCUGGUCUGAAGGAUGAUCAGCCACACUGGAACUGAGACACGGUCCAGACUCCUACGGGAGGCAGCAGUGGGGAAUAUUGCACAAUGGGCGCAAGCCUGAUGCAGCCAUGCCGCGUGUAUGAAGAAGGCCUUCGGGUUGUAAAGUACUUUCAGUCGUGAGGAAGGUGGUGUUGUUAAUAGCAACAUCAUUUGACGUUAGCGACAGAAGAAGCACCGGCUAACUCCGUGCCAGCAGCCGCGGUAAUACGGAGGGUGCGAGCGUUAAUCGGAAUUACUGGGCGUAAAGCGCAUGCAGGUGGUUCGUUAAGUCAGAUGUGAAAGCCCGGGGCUCAACCUCGGAACUGCAUUUGAAACUGGCGGACUAGAGUACUGUAGAGGGGGGUAGGAUUUCAGGUGUAGCGGUGAAAUGCGUAGAGAUCUGAAGGAAUACCGGUGGCGAAGGCGGCCCCCUGGACAGAUACUGACACUCAGAUGCGAAAGCGUGGGGAGCAAACAGGGUUAGAUACCCUGGUAGUCCACGCCGUAAACGAUGUCUACUUGGAGGUUGUGGCCUUGAGCCGUGGCUUUCGGAGCUAACGCGUUAAGUAGACCGCCUGGGGAGUACGGUCGCAAGAUUAAAACUCAAAUGAAUUGACGGGGGCCCGCACAAGCGGUGGAGCAUGUGGUUUAAUUCGAUGCAACGCGAAGAACCUUACCUACUCUUGACAUCCAGAGAAUCCAGCGGAGACGCAGGAGUGCCUUCGGGAGCUCUGAGACAGGUGCUGCAUGGCUGUCGUCAGCUCGUGUUGUGAAAUGUGGGUUAAGUCCCGCAACGAGCGACCUUAUUUUGCCAGCGAGUAUCGGCUCAGGGACUGCGAACGAGAGUGGGACGACGAGUCAUCAUGCACGAUAGGUGU